rnacentral:rRNA from 1 species
GAUGAACGCUGGCGGCGUGCCUAAUACAUGCAAGUCGAGCGAAUGGAUUGAGAGCUUGCUCUUAUGAAGUUAGCGGCGGACGGGUGAGUAACACGUGGGUAACCUGCCCAUAAGACUAGGAUAACUCCGGGAAACCGGGACUAAUACCGGAUAACAUUUUGAACCGCAUGGUUCGAAAUUGAAAGGCGGCUUCGGCUGUCACUUAUGGAUGGACCCGCGUCGCAUUAGCUAGUUGGUGAGGUAACGGCUCACCAAGGCACCGAUGCGUAGCCGACCUGAGAGGGUGAUCGGCCACACUGGGACUGAGACACGGCCCAGACUCCUACGGGAGGCAGCAGUAGGGAAUCUUCCGCAAUGGACGAAAGUCUGACGGAGCAACGCCGCGUGAGUGAUGAAGGCUUUCGGGUCGUAAAACUCUGUUGUUAGGGAAGAACAAGUGCUAGUUGAAUAAGCUGGCACCUUGACGGUACCUAACCAGAAAGCCACGGCUAACUACGUGCCAGCAGCCGCCGAAA